AAAUUGAAGAGUUUGAUCAUGGCUCAGAUUGAACGCUGGCGGCAGGCCUAACACAUGCAAGUCGAACGGUAACAGGAAGCAGCUUGCUGCUUUGCUGACGAGUGGCGGACGGGUGAGUAAUGUCUGGGAAACUGCCYGAUGGAGGGGGAUAACUACUGGAAACGGUAGCUAAUACCGCAUAACGUCGAAAGACCAAAGAGGGGGACCUUCGGGCCUCUUGCCAUCGGAUGUGCCCAGAUGGGAUUAGCUAGUAGGUGGGGUAACGGCUCACCUAGGCGACGAUCCCUAGCUGGUCUGAGAGGAUGACCAGCCACACUGGAACUGAGACACGGUCCAGACUCCUACGGGAGGCAGCAGUGGGGAAUAUUGCACAAUGGGCGCAAGCCUGAUGCAGCCAUGCCGCGUGUAUGAAGAAGGCCUUCGGGUUGUAAAGUACUUUCAGCGGGGAGGAAGGGAGUA
rnacentral:rRNA from 1 species